GUAUUUUAAAUUUGUGUGACAGUAUGAAAGUAUAUAUUUAAAUGGGUCAGUUUGCAUAAUGUUAUUUCAGUGAUAUGUCGAAAAGUUACAAUUCAAACAAAAUGAAUAGAAUUUCAACUAGGAUGUCUUUAAAAACGAGGAUAAGACUGGGAGAGUCCCAGGAGAGUGAAGCCAUGGGGACAGUGCGAGAUCUCCGAGAGUUCAUGCUGGAUGCAGAGCUGGAACACUACUACAGCGCCUUUAAAAAUGAACUCAAGAUUGCCAGUGUACCCCAGAUCAAAUAUGUUGCUGAGGAGGACUUGACAUCCAUUGGAAUGACUAAACCCGAAAUGAGAAGACUGAAAAAGUUCUACAAGAAAGAAUGUCCACAGGGCAAACUGGAAAAAUUUAAAAGGGCAUUGAUGGAGAAAACCAGUUUAAGUCCCACCACACAUAGAACGCUCAGCCCGCCACCAGAUCAUAGGAUAUCGAGACCUAUAUCUUAUAUACGACCUACUGGCAAACAAAUUAUCUCGUCAGACGUCAUAGAAGUGAACAAGACGUUAGGAGAGGGGGAGUUUGGUGUGGUACAGCAAGGGGUUUGGACUACGGAGGAAGGGGAAAAGGUUCAGGUUGCACUGAAGUGUUUGAGUCGUGAUCGCCUAGAGAACGGUACUCAAGAAUUCCUCAAGGAGGCUGGUUUGAUGCAGACAAUAGAUCAUGAAAAUAUUGUACGCAUGUAUGGUGUCGUUCUUGACAAAGAAAAUUCAUUAAUGCUGGUUACGGAGUUAGCUCCCAUGCGCUCAUUACUCGAAUGCCUUAAAGAUCCAGUUAUGAAACAGGACUUCCCGCUACCUAGGUUGUGUGAUUUUGCCCAGCAGAUUUCUGAUGGUAUGAGCUACUUGGAAAGUAAAAGGCUUAUUCACAGAGACCUAGCUGCCAGAAAUAUACUUGUGUUCAAUAAAUCAAAGGUGAAAAUAAGUGAUUUCGGUUUAUCUCGGGCAUUAGGCAGGGGGAAGGACUAUUACCAAAGUAAUUUCAGUAUCAACCUUAAACUUCCAAUUGCUUGGUGUGCCCCAGAAUGUAUAAAUUACCUGAAGUUUACCUCAGCCAGUGAUGUAUGGGCAUAUGGUGUUACGUUAUGGGAACUCUUCACAUACGGCUUCCAACCAUGGGCAGGAAUGAACGGUCAACAGAUCUUGGAUGCAAUAGAUUCACCAAAUUAUCAAAGAUUAGAGCAACCAGAACUGUGUCCAAAGAAUUAUUAUGAUCUCAUGUUGAAAUGUUGGGACCACGAACCAGAAAACAGACCAACGUUCAGUGAAAUGUACAUAAUGCUUCCACAGAUGCGGCCCACUCAGGUAAAGGCAGUAAAGGACUUCCCAGAAAUAACUGUCCCUAAAGAUUAUAUAUACUACCGUGCCUAUGAUGUCAUUUCAGUGCUCGAUAAAACACCUUCGAAUCCACCAGUUCCUGGUUUAUGGAAAGGUGUCUUGACCAGUGGUAAAGUGGGUUAUUUCGACCCCUGUAACACAGUUCCAUUUAUAGAACCAAAAAGUAGUCCGGAUGGCGGGACACCAAAGAAAUCAAUCACAAGAAAAGAUUCAAAGAGAUCGGCCAGUAAAAAGAUCCGUCCUGACAUGAUCAGUCGACCCCAGAAUGACCUUCGACACACGGGUCAUAUAGGAUAUGAUGGUGCUGUAUUUGGUGAUGUUGGAUUCAUAGGGGAUAAUUAUGACAAACUGCCAAUUAAAACUGCUUCAAUAGGAAAGUUAGAUGACAGUCGUAACUCUAUAAACUUGACACGGAUGUCAGACAGUCCAGAUAAAGAAGUGAGGCUUAGCUUAUCAGAUUCCUCCUUGAACGGUGGACCAGGACAUAAAACUAAUGGCUUUGGAAGAUCUUGGAUAAGUGUUGAGUCAUUGGAAUCACAGACAACAGGACGGACAGAUGAACAAGAUGAUCAUGCUGAUGGUGGAUAUCUAGAUAUUGAUGAUGACUCAAUCCUUGCUGACUUUAAAAUGCCAGAUCUUGGGUCAUCUUUCGACUUUGGUGGAUCUUUCAUGGAUGAAGUGCUCAAAGCACUCAGUGAGAAAGAAUCUCAGCUUGAGUCGAAUAACGAGAAAAAGUCCAGUAGUUCUAAAGACGAUUUCGGAUCUCCCAGCGGGGAGAGAAGUCUGUCCAUGUCUCCACCAAAGGAGGUGCGAUCCCCACCGCCACCAUUACCGUCACAACCUCCAAGAGCAGCUGCGAGGAGGUUUCCUAGUCACAAGGAACCUAAACCAAGCAAGUCGGAAGCUCAGAGGUUACAGGCCAAGGUGAAACCAAUGUCGACGUCGGACGAGAAAAUGAUGGAGGAAGCAAUAAAUAUUGCUAACGAGUUUGCCUCACAAAAUGAGCGCGCUCAAAUGGUUCGUCAAGAAUCUUUAUCGGAUAAACACUCGGAUGUUGAGAGCAGUUCCAAUUCUCCAAGUUUAAUUUCAAAAUUUAAGGCGUCAAUAAAGCGAAGUCCAAAUUACGAGAGGCAACGUUCUUUUUCAGACAGUUUGAAUCAAGAAACAGACGAUGUGCCUCCAGAAGCACAAGAAGCAUAUAAUAUGUUAGUUGUUCAUGGUUCAGUAAAUGAGGGGUCACGGGGAUAUCAGGGUGCUUAUGGUAAUGACAGUGAUAAAAGAGAAUCUCUAGUUAGCAACGGUAGUGUUGGACAUAAUUUUUCCUAUGCAGAUUCUUCAUCCUCUAGUGUAUCAAGGACUCCGGACAGGGACACACCUGUCAAAACAAUAUCUAGACGUUUUUCUGACAGAAGCUCAGUUUCACCCCCAAAUCUUGCUAGAGUGCCAAGUCAAGGUGCUCCUGAAAGGCCAAUACCAAAACCAAGACCGGAAGUGCCCCCUCCAACUCUCCCAAAACGUGGUGAAAUCCCAGUUCCAAAACCAAGACCAGAGAUUCAGAGAGUUGAACCAGUACAGAGACCUCCUCCGCCAAUACCGGCUAAAGAUUUUGAAAUUUCUAGUGAAAAUAGUGAAAGUGCUUCUAACAAUGCUUUUGAUAAUCCAUUACUGAUUAGAGAAGACGAAUGGAAAAAUUCAGAGGAAAGUUUACGAAGUGACAGAAAUUCUCAGCAUUUACAAGAAGAGAAAGUGGACAGUUUAAAUACUAGCACAGACUCUGGGAGAAAAUCAACAAGUCCCUCAGAUAUUUCUCAAUCAUCUGCUUCUAAAUUUUCGUUUUUCGAAGAAGAAUUUGACCAGCCAUCACCUAGGGAGAUUAUGAGUAAGCUGGCGCGGGAAAGUCGAUUACGCCGAUCUCUGGACCAUCAGACUGGUGCUGCCGCAGGUGAUGCUGGACCUAAUAGAAACUUACGAGAACCACAGGGUAUACCUGGGAAAAGUUUUGCCACAGCAAAUACAGAAGAGGAAGAAGUGGAUACGAAUCCACUUCGUAUGCUCCGUGGUGGAGUGAUCCCAGUACGUGGAGGUCGUGGUGGUUCAGAGUCACCUCCCCUGAAUUCUGAGGACACCGAAAUGUGAGGAAGUAGAGAAAAGGAGAAGAAUGGUGAGGAAGUAGAUCUCAUGCAAAAGCUUUUUGGUAGUGAUGUGACCAGAGAAGACUGUUUAGAAGCUUUGCAUGAUACAAAAUGGGACCUUCAUAAAGCUAUCAAAUUUAUCAAGCUGAAGCAG
rnacentral:misc_RNA from 1 species